rnacentral:rRNA from 1 species
UACGAAGGGGGCUAGCGUUGCUCGGAAUCACUGGGCGUAAAGCGCACGUAGGCGGAUUGCUAAGUCAGGGGUGAAAUCCUGGAGCUCAACUCCAGAACUGCCUUUGAUACUGGCGACCUUGAGUCCGGGAGAGGUGAGUGGAACUGCGAGUGUAGAGGUGAAAUUCGUAGAUAUUCGCAAGAACACCAGUGGCGAAAGCGGCGCGCUGGACCACUACUGACGCUGAGGAACGAAAGCUAGGGGAGCAAACAGG